rnacentral:rRNA from 1 species
CAAGCGUUAUCCGGAAUUAUUGGGCGUAAAGAGCUCGUAGGCGGUUUGUCGCGUCUGCCGUGAAAGUCCGGGGCUCAACUCCGGAUCUGCGGUGGGUACGGGCAGACUAGAGUGCAGUAGGGGAGACUGGAAUUCCUGGUGUAGCGGUGAAAUGCGCAGAUAUCAGGAGGAACACCGAUGGCGAAGGCAGGUCUCUGGGCUGUAACUGACGCUGAGGAGCGAAAGCAUGGGGAGCGAACAGG